UGUAACAGUGUUUAAGGCAUAUGUAAGC
rnacentral:sRNA from 1 species